rnacentral:rRNA from 1 species
AUACGUAGGGGGCGAGCGUUGUCCGGAAUGAUUGGGCGUAAAGGGCGCGUAGGCGGCGCGGUAAGUCUGGAGUGAAAGUCCUGCUUUCAAGGUGGGAAUUGCUUUGGAUACUGCCGCGCUUGAGUGCAGGAGAGGUUAUCGGAAUUCCCGGUGUAGCGGUGAAAUGCGUAGAGAUCGGGAGGAACACCAGCGGCGAAGGCGGGUAACUGGACUGCAACUGACGCUGAGGCGCGAAAGUGUGGGGAGCAAACAGGAUUAGAUACCCUGGUAGUCCACACUGUAAACGAUGAAUGCUAGGUGUAAGAGGUAUCGACCCCUUUUGUGCCGGAGUCAACACAAUAAGCAUUCCGCCUGGGGAGUACGGUCGCAAGGUUGAAACUCAAAGGAAUUGACGGGG